AGCAGGUCGCGCUGACGUGGACA
rnacentral:miRNA from 1 species